rnacentral:tRNA from 1 species
GGGCGCUUAGCUCAGUUGGUAGAGCGUCUGCCUUACAAGCAGAAUGUCGGCGGUUCGAUCCCGUCAGCGCCAG